rnacentral:snRNA from 1 species
GUGCUUGCUUCGGCAGCACAUAUACUAAAAUUGGAACGAUACAGAGAAGAUCAGCAUGGCCCCUGUGCAAGGAUGACAUGCAAAUUCAUGAAGCGUUCCAUAUCUUC